rnacentral:tRNA from 1 species
GUAAAUAUAGUAUAACAAAAAUAUAUCAAACUGUGGAUCUGAAGCUGAGAGUGAGAAUCCCUCUAUUUACC